ACACGACUACAUUAGAUACCCCUGUAGUCCUAGCCGUAAACGAUACUCGCUAGGUGUCGGCCACGGUGCGACCGUUGUCGGUGCCGUAGGGAAGCCGUGAAGCGAGCCACCUGGGAAGUACGGCCGCAAGGCUGAAACUUAAAGGAAUUGGCGGGGGAGCACCACAACGGGUGGAGCUUGCGGUUUAAUUGGAUUCAACGCCGGAAAUCUUACCGGGACCGACAGCAACAUGAAGGCCAGGCUGAAGACUUUGCCGGAUUAGCCG
rnacentral:rRNA from 1 species